UCUGGGUUACAUGGCCGCGCGCCGUGGCCAAUACAAUUGUCUGACAAAUGGAUGGCCUGGUAGCGUGGUCGUGUGAUCUUUCUGCCGUAUCUGUUUACGCAGGUGCUGGUUGAUUUUCAGCUGGCAUGCUCUUGGGUGCCUUUAACCAGGUGUCCGGAGCAGACGGCACGUUUACUUUGAACAAAUUUGAGUGCUCAAAGCAGGCCGUAGUGCCUGAAAAGUCUUGCAUGGAAUAAUGGAAUAGGACUUCGGUUCUAUUUUGUUGGUUUUCGGAUCCGAAGUAAU
rnacentral:rRNA from 1 species